rnacentral:rRNA from 1 species
UUCUGGCUCAGGAUGAACGCUAGCGGCAGGCUUAACACAUGCGAGUCGAGGGCAUCGGGAGUAGCAAUACUUGCCGGCGACCGGCGCAAGGGUGCGUAACGCGUGAGCAACAUGCCCGUAUCAGGGGGAUAAUCCAUGGAAACGUGGUCUAAUACCCCAUAGUAAUUAUGUAAGGCAUCUUAUAUAAUUUAAAGCUUUGGUGGAUACGGAUUGGCUCGCGUGACAUUAGCUAGAUGGUAAGGUAACGGCUUACCAUGGCUACGAUGUCUAGGGGUUCUGAGAGGAAGGUCCCCCACACUGGAACUGAGACACGGUCCAGACUCCUACGGGAGGCAGCAGUGAGGAAUAUUGGACAAUGGAUGGAAAUCUGAUCCAGCCAUGCCGCGUGCAGGAAGACGGCCCUAUGGGUUGUAAACUGCUUUUGUAUGGGAGCAAUAAGGGCUACGCGUAGUCCGAUGAGAGUACCAUACGAAUAAGCACCGGCUAACUCCGUGCCAGCCGCCGC